GGCUCAGAGUGAACGCUAGCGGCGUGGUUAAGACAUGCAAGUCGAACGAUGAAGCCCAGCUUGCUGGGCGGAUUAGUGGCAUACGGGUGCGUAACACGUGAGCAACCUGCCUUGAAGUGGGGAAUAGCCCGGGGAAACCCGGAUUAAUACCGCAUGUGGUCUCUUUUCGCAUGAAAAGACGACUAAAGUUUGUAAUGACUCUUCAAGAGGGGCUCGCGGCCUAUCAGCUUGUUGGUGAGGUAAAAGCUCACCAAGGCAAAGACGGGUAGCUGGUCUGAGAGGAUGAUCAGCCACACUGGAACUGAGAUACGGUCCAGACACCUACGGGUGGCAGCAGUUUCGAAUCAUUCACAAUGGGGGAAACCCUGAUGGUGCAACGCCGCGUGGAGGAUGACGGCCUUCGGGUUGUAAACUCCUGUCACCAAGGAACAAACGGCAGGUUCAUAGCCUGUCCUGAGUUAACUUGGAGAGGAAGAGGUGGCUAACUCCGUGCCAGCAGCCGCGGUAAUACGGAGACCUCGAGCGUUACUCGGAUUCACUGGGCGUAAAGAGUAUGUAGGCGGUUUGGUAUGUCAGGUGUGAAAGCCCGAAGCUCAACUUCGGAAUUGCGCCUGAAACUACCGGACUUGAGGCCUGGAGAGGGGAGUGGAAUUCCUGGUGUAGCGGUGAAAUGCGUAGAUAUCAGGAGGAACACCAAUGGCGAAGGCAGCUCCCUGGACAGGUUCUGACGCUGAGAUACGAAAGCGUGGGUAGCGAAAGGGAUUAGAUACCCCUGUAGUCCACGCCGUAAACGUUGUACACUAGGUUUCGGAGGGCCUACCCCUUCGGAGCUCAAGCUAACGCGAUAAGUGUACCGCCUGAGGACUACGGCCGCAAGGCUAAAACUCAAAGGAAUGACGGGGCCCGCACAACGUGGAGCAUGUGGCUUAAUUCGAUGCAACGCGAAGAACCUUACCUAGGCUUGACAUGAACCGGACGAUUUUCGGAAACGGAUUUCUCCCUUCGGGGCCGGUUCACAGGUGCUGCAUGGCUGUCGUCAGCUCGUGU
rnacentral:rRNA from 1 species